AUUCUGCCCGUGCAGGGAAGGAUGAGAAGCUUCGACCAGGUUCGAUUCGAGCGCAGCGAGAAAGCGUU
rnacentral:sRNA from 1 species